AGAUGGACGAGUACUUGCAGUACAUGAAGACUUUGCGCUCUCAGAUGAACGAUGUGGAGGAUCAAGCGGCGAAGAUUUCUGUCGAAGAGCAAAUGCAGUUAACCACUAUUCAAACCAUGGAAAACGAUCUCAAUUCUGCAAAAUCUGAAACAAAGCAACUUAAAGAAGAUGCUGAGCUAAUGAUG